AAGAGAGCCUUUAUUCAGGCUAUGGGUGAGCCAGCAAGCAAGGCAUUUGCUCCAGACAGAGAGUCCUUCAUAGAUCCAUCAUGCUACUAUAGCUAACAAACACGUCAAUAGGGUUUAAAAGGUGCUUCAGAGGAGCUCGGAAGCAAAGACAAAUAAGCACACCGUGACUGCUGCCUUGACAUUCUCCCAAGCUGACAUCCCGACCGGUAUGACACUGAUGCCUUUGGGCAGAAAUCAGAGCCGGUUUGCUACAUGCCUCCAUGUAGCCACGAUGCCUGUAGCGCCUCUGAGAGCCCCCAGUGCCCUGGUGGGGAAAUGGAGCGAGCACGUGGGCCCCAGAUGAACUCCAGGGAGAGAGCAGGCAUUUUCCGUGGUGAUCCUGCUACCCGUUUCCAGUUGUUGAGCUGGCUGGAAGAGAAGCCCUCCGACCGUCUGCUUUAUAUUCAGAUUUCAGAUUUGAGUCCUCACUUAAAGGCACAGCUGUCCCUUGACUUCAGCUAAUUGCCACGUUCCCUUGAAGGAGUGAUGCCUCUCCCAAGCUUCUGUGCUAGCAUCAAGAGAGAACUGAUCUAUGGGCUACUCAGUGGUUACUUACAUCAUUCUUGUGCUUCCAGCCACGUGACCUGACCGCAGGCUUUCAAAAGGUGGAGAACGUAGUGUCCAGAGGUCAGACCUGGUCUGUUUCAUGCAACGGCCCCAACUGAUGGCAUCCUGACAUCCUUGGGAGUGCUCUGGUCAUCAGUCCAGCCAACCAGAUGGAUCUGCUUUAGGCAGCUGGACAUUUGGGAAGUAUUAUUUCUUCUGAAUAUGUAGCCUGUGCCGCUCUUAUUUGGAGCUCAUAAAACAUAACGAGAUAUGGGUCAACAUUUAAGUCCUGUGGAAAAUUACAUCCUGGAAGACUUCGUGGAGCCGAAGGCUUAGCUGGUAUUAGCUCUAAUUAUACUCCAUUGAACUCUGCAGCAGCAACUGCAGCCUUUGACUAAAGCUGUGAGUGUUGUUCUCCUUUCUAGAGAGCUCACCAUUGCCAUUACAUCUGAAUGUUGGGAUGCUCCUUGAUGAGCCCACACACAAGCACUGUGCCUCCCCUCCCCGAUUCUGCAGGGAACAGAGCAUCUGAGCACAUUGUGCACCUUGCUCAUCCACAAUAGGGCAUUUUAUUCACCUUUCAGGUUUCCAGCAACUGUUUUGAAGUCCUUGCAGCUACUUGGCAGAACACGUAGGAUGUGUCUGAGCACUUCACUAGGAGAGUUGUCAAAUAUCGCAAGUGAGCUUUUGGAAGCAAGCAGACGCAAUAGGAGAGUGGGGGAAGGAGAUUAAAAUACAGUUGUUGGCUGAUAUGAAAAUCUUAAAUAAACCACAAAUUAU
rnacentral:lncRNA from 7 species